AACGAACGCUGGCGGCGUGGCUAAGACAUGCAAGUCGUACGGUACGUUGUAGCAAUAUGGCGUAUAGUGGCGGACGGGUGAGUAAUAAAUAGGUAAUGUGCCCCGGGCUUGGGAAUAGCGUCGGGUGCCGCAAGGCAUCCUUUGCGAAAGUGACGGUAAUACCUAAUGAUACCAUCGGGAGGCGUCUCCUGAUGUUCAAAGGUGGGGACCUUCGGGCCUAUCGGCCUGGGAGCAGCCUAUUUCCUAUCAGCUAGUUGGUGAGGUAACGGCCCACCAAGGCAUCGACGGGUAGCCGGUCUGAGAGGAUGGUCGGCCACAUCGGAACUGAGACACUGUCCGGACACU
rnacentral:rRNA from 1 species